rnacentral:rRNA from 1 species
CCUACGGGUCGCACCAGUGGGAAUAUUGCACAAUGGGCGCAAGCCUGAUGCAGCCAUGCCGCGUGUAUGAAGAAGGCCUUCGGGUUGUAAAGUACUUUCAGCGGGGAGGAAGGUGUUGUGGUUAAUAACCACAGCAAUUGACGUUACCCGCAGAAGAAGCACCGGCUAACUCCGUGCCAGCAGCCGCGGUAAUACGGAGGGUGCAAGCGUUAAUCGGGAUUACUGGGCGUAAAGCGCACGCAGGCGGUCUGUCAAGUCGGAUGUGAAAUCCCCGGGCUCAACCUGGGAACUGCAUUCGAAACUGGCAGGCUAGAGUCUUGUAGAGGGGGGUAGAAUUCCAGGUGUAGCGAUGAAAUGCGUAGAGAUCUGGAGGAAUACCGGUGGCGAAGGCGGCCCCCUGGACAAAGACUGACGCUCAGGUGCGAAAGCGUGGGGAGCAGACAGGAUUAGAUACCCCAGUAGUC